CGCCGACGAGGGCCCGGCAUUGCCGAUCGCAGCCGUGCGCCGCGUCCUUAGCCGUCGCCGCCGCCGCCGCGACUUCACCGCUAGCUGAUGGAUCUACUAGGGAACCCUUUCAAGGGAGUCGUCGCGGAUGUCAAAGGGAGAGCAUCUUGGUACAAGGACGAUUGGGUUGCAGGGCUCCGAACUGGCUUCAGGAUAUUGGCACCUACCAUGUAUAUUUUCUUUGCCUCUGCACUCCCUGUAAUCUCCUUCGGAGAGCAGCUGAGCAACGAAACAGAUGGUAUCGUAAGCACUGUUGAAACUUUGGCGUCUACGGCGAUAUGUGGGAUAAUACACUCGAUUCUUGGAGGGCAGCCACUGUUGAUCGUUGGAGUCGCAGAACCUACUAUUAUCAUGUAUACGUAUCUCUACAAGUUUGCCAAGAAGCAGCCAGAUCUGGGAGAACGGCUAUAUUUGGCUUGGGCUGGAUGGGUCUGCAUUUGGACUGCUAUCAUGCUGUUUCUUUUGGCAAUGUUCAAUGCUUCCAAUGUUAUAAGCAGAUUCACGAGGGUUGCAGGAGAGCUUUUUGGUAUGUUGAUCACUGUCCUGUUCCUGCAGCAAGCUAUCAAGGGAAUUGUAAGUGAGUUCAGUGUGCCGAAAGAUGAUGAGAUUUCUGACCCCAGCUCACCUAUAUACCAGUUCCAGUGGAUUUAUGUCAAUGGCCUACUUGGUGUUAUAUUUUCCAUUGGCUUGCUGUACACUGCACUGAAGACUAGGCGUGCAAGGUCAUGGCUGUAUGGCGUAGGAUGGCUUAGAAGCUUCAUUGCCGAUUACGGUGUACCGCUGAUGGUGAUUGUGUGGACAGCAUUGUCAUUUACACUACCAAGCAAAGUCCCUUCAGGAGUGCCUAGGAGGCUCUUCAGUCCACUUCCCUGGGAGUCAAUCUCACUGAGACAUUGGACCGUAGCAAAGGAUUUGUUUUCUGUCCCUCCAACAUAUAUAUUUGCAGCCAUCGUGCCUGCUUUGAUGGUCGCAGGACUUUAUUUCUUUGACCACAGUGUAGCUUCACAGUUGGCUCAGCAGAAGGAGUUUAAUUUGAAGAAGGCUUCUGCCUACCAUUAUGACAUUUUGGUACUUGGAUUCAUGGUCCUACUAUGUGGUUUGCUUGGCAUUCCCCCAUCAAAUGGAGUACUUCCUCAGUCCCCCAUGCAUACAAGAAGCCUUGCUGUCCUCAAGGGGCAGCUGCUACGCAGAAAGAUGCUUCAAACUGCCAAAGAGGGCAUGUCAAACCGUGCGAGCAGUUUGGAAAUCUAUGGCAAGAUGCAGGAAGUGUUCAUCCAAAUGGAUAGCAACCAGAAUGCUAAUUCUGUUGACAAGGACUUGAAGAGCUUGAAGGAUGCUGUGCUGCGGGAAGGUGACGAAGAAGGGAAAUUGGCUGGAGAAUUUGAUCCUAGCAAACACAUUGAAGCACAUUUGCCUGUUCGUGUGAACGAACAGAGGCUAAGCAACCUGCUGCAAUCCUUACUUGUUGGUGGCUGUGUUGGAGCUAUGCCGGCUAUCAAGAUGAUACCGACUUCGGUCCUCUGGGGUUACUUUGCCUACAUGGCCAUUGAUAGCCUACCUGGGAACCAGUUUUGGGAAAGGUUACAGCUUCUGUGCAUUGGAGCAAGCCGACGCUACAAGGUCUUGGAAGGCCCCCAUGCAUCUUUCGUGGAGGCGGUGCCUUCAAGAACAAUAUCUGCCUUUACGGUCUUCCAGUUUGUGUAUCUCUUGAUAUGCUUCGGUAUAACAUGGAUACCAGUAGCAGGGAUCCUCUUCCCGCUGCCUUUCUUCAUUAUGAUUCUCAUCAGGCAACACCUACUCCCAAAGUUCUUUGAGCCCAAUGACUUGCGAGAACUGGAUGCAGCUGAGUAUGAAGAACUUGAAGGCGUCCCACAUGAACAAACACUGGAGGAAGAUGGCUCAAAUUCAGGAAGCCAUGACAGCAUAGACGACGCUGAAAUGUUGGAUGAACUCACGACAAACCGUGGAGAGCUGAAGCACAGAUCUGCAAGCCAUCCUGAAGAAAGGCACCUUCAGGUCCAGCCAACAGAUUGAACUUGUGAGCUGUUUUUUUCUUUUUUUACGGAAGAACAAGUACCGCGCAUACCAGUAGAUGGUUCUUUUGUGCCUGUUAUGGGCAGAUUUCACGGGCGCAAAUUCAUAAAUGUUCCCGUCGUCCAUUCAAAUGCAGUUCAGCCGAGCGUGUGAAGAUGGAAAAACGUCCCGAUGUCCGAGGCUUUGAUGACGAUUCUGUCAGAAGUGUAGAUUAUCCUGAAGCCAUUGUUCAUUUCCGAAUACGCCAUUGUUCAGCAAUGUGCAUUGUACUGUAGCUAGCGCUUUUCCGGUAAGGCGUGAUCGUGUACGCUAGGAAGUAAAGCUCAGGUAAUUAGCAGUGAGAUCAGACUGAAGAAAGUGUAUUGGAUAUGGCAGGGGAACUUGGCAGAAUAGUAUUAGUAAUGGUUAGAAGUAGAAAGACUGUUGCUCCGUGACCUGUUAUUGCAAGACUGUUGCUCUGUGACCUGUUGCCUGUGUAAAGUCCAGCUUUCUGUGUCUGAAUGUAAAAUGCCAGGCAUAAGAAUUUCUUGAGAACCAGUGAAUCUAUUCUGCCGCGUGUUCUGGCUGCAUUUUGA